rnacentral:lncRNA from 1 species
UGGUUUCCUUCCAGCCAAAGGGCUUCUUCCUUUUUCAUGUAUUCCUCUUUCACCCAGAGCAGCUGCAGGAUUCAGACCUACAAGAUGCUCCAUGAGGUGGAGAAUAAAAGCAUCCAACUAAGAAAUCUGAAGACCACUGGACAAAUGAGACAUCUGAAGAAGAGGGGAGAGUCAUCCAGACUAAAUAUCCCAAGAAAAGGAGUACAUUGGCCUAACAGAAUAGCACAUUUCCAACAGUAUAAAAUUUUAUAAAUCUUCACAAAUGUUUGUUUCUGCUGUUCUCUACAGACAUAUAAGGCAAAUGGCUUUUUUGUAGUAUCAAUUCAAUUAAAAAUUAAAGCUGG